rnacentral:lncRNA from 1 species
UUGCCCUCUGUACCAAAAUUUUAUUUUAUUAUUAUAUUGCUUUUUACCCUAAAUGACUAUUAUUUUGCAAUGUCACAUGGAUUUAAAUGGAAAAAAUAUAUUUUAAACAUAAUUAGAAUUUAAAAAUUGUAUUACGAGCUAAAAUAUUAUUUUUAAAAAUUAAAAAUUAAAAGAAAAAAACCUACAAUUCUCUCUCUCUCUCUCUCUCUGUGUUCCAAGCACCAGCGCCAACCACCUAAAAAAACAAAAAAAACCAGUGAACCUGCCCCAUCCCUUUUUCUUUCUUAUUUUAAAUCACAACCACCCAUCCCCAAGUAGUGCCGCCAACCCCACUCUUAUCAGUACAACCACCCCAAAUUGAAUCACAUGAUGCUUAUGCUCUUACUUCUUAUGCCUUCAGAGAUCUUCCAGAUUAACUUGCAUUGCCUCAAUAUGCAUCUCUUGGAAUAUUAUCUUGUCCCACCAAAAGAAUAAAAUACAAAUAUGGCUAAAACCCAAACCCAGAAAGAAGGCUUUUUCAAAUUUCAUUUAUAAAAAAAAAAGAAUUAGGAGGAAAAAAAUCAAAAUAGAGAAAGUGGGUAUGAUUAUUAAUCUAAAAUUUGUGGGAAGUUCAUGAUGAAAAGGGUACAUGAACAUUUCUUUGUAAAAUUUUGUAGAAAAUUGGAAUCUGUAAAAAACUAAAAUAAAAGAAAUAUUAGGAAAAAAAAAAGGGGAGGAAAUUCAUUCAUCCCAGCCCACUACCUCCCCUUGAUUCUAACUACCCUAGCCUGCUAGCCACCCCUCCACCACAACCAUCCCACCCCACACCCACCUGAAACCCAACCUAGAUCAAAUUCAAUUUUGGGUAUGUCAGUCUAGUUAAAAGAAGAAAGAAAAACCCAGAUCUGGAACUUCAGUUUCGUGGAUGUCAAAGAGAGAAGGGGAGAAGAGAGAGAAAGAGAAGGGUUGGGUGGUGGGAGGAGAGGUAGAGAGAGGGUGCCAGAUGUGAGGUUGUUGGCUGUCGCAUAGAGAGAUAAGGAUAGGAGAGAUAAAGAAGGAGAAGGGAGAAGAUGAAAUUGAAGCUCACUCGCGGGUUGUGAUUUUUCUACUGGAUAAAAGAAACCCAUAUGUAACUUACUAAUGUUAGCCAU